ACGGACUCGACCCGUUCUUCUCGUUCAGAGCCGUAAGUGCUUCCAUUAUCAUCUGAAAGUAUGGAGGAUGAGCGGCGGUUUUGGUUUUGGGUUUUGAAGACCUGCAUAGUUUCAAAAAUUGGGGAUAUGAAAUUCGAAAGAAAUUAAGGAUUUGAGAGAAAUUUGGGGACAAUGGGAGAGAAUUGUUCAGAAAUAGGGGGGAUUAGUUCUUUCUCUUGAUACCUCUUCCAGGUGCAACCAAAGACGAAGUCCCACAUGGCGGAGCAGUGGCAAUGCCUACAAGCCUACUUGUAUGCGACACCACAGGUUCAGUGCUUGCAUCAUCUUCUUUGCACUGCUUCUUCAACCUUGUAAAAUCUUCUAGAGAAUAAUGCGAUGUAAGGGCUGAUGAUCUAGAAUUGCAUGACUUCGAUGUCACAUCUUCCGCCUGUGAUGUCACAUUUUCCAAUGGAUCUGGGCACGGGUCAGCCGCCUUUCUUCUUCUUCCUCAUCAAUUCAGAGUAACAAGCUACCAAUAUCCGUCACAUUUCAGAGUUGUUCAGAAAUAGGGGGAUUGUUUCUUUCUCUGUUUAUUGCUUCAAAUGACAGAAAAUACCCAUGUUCUUUCUUUCCGGGUUUUCUUGAAUCUGCUGUGAAAAGAUCCAAGCAUUCAUGAAGAGCAUUUUCAGCUGCAACAUAAAUUUCAGCAAGCCUCAUAUGUUGAUCAAUUGAGCUCUCAGAAAUUUCUGGUGAAGAGUUAAGAUUAUAUAAGGGAUUGGAGAGAAUGGAGUUUCUUGCGGCUUCUUUGAAGGGCAAGUGGGAGAUGAUGAUCAGAAGCAGAGGUUUGGGUAACUUUGAGAGAGAAGAAGAGAUUUCUUGUGGUGCAAUUUUCGAGGGGAGAGGCGGUUAUUGGCACCCAGUGGUAUUCAUUUGUUUAGGUUCUUGCAGCAUUGAAGACAUCUUGGUCUUGCAGUUUCAUAUCCGUUUCAAAACUCUAGCUAGUUCAAACUUCACUUGGCUACACCAAGUUCAGUUUGAAGGGGGAGUAAUAACAGAAAUGUUUAGUAUAAUAACAGAAAUGCCACAUGGCACUAUUAUAGUAGUGGAGUUUGUUAGUAUAAUUAGAUAUUGUAAUUGAGAUACAUGGCUAUAUAAAGGAUUGUAUAGCUAUCAUUUCCUUAAGUUCAUUUGUAUACAUUUUCUCUAAUCAAUCAAUACAAUCUUGUUUGUUUCUCUCUA